rnacentral:rRNA from 1 species
UAGUGGCCUGAGGAACUGAUGGUGCGACGCCGCGUGGGGGAAUGAAGGUCUUCGGAUUGUAAACCCCUGUCAUGUGGGAGCAAAUUAACAAGACCGUACCACAAGAGGAAGAGACGGCUAACUCUGUGCCAGCAGCCGCGGUAAUACAGAGGUCUCAAGCGUUGUUCGGAAUCACUGGGCGUAAAGCGUGCGUAGGCUGUUUCGUAAGUCGUGUGUGAAAGGGCGGGCUCAACCCGCGGACGGCACAUGAUACUGCGAGACUGAGUAAUGGAGGGGGAAUCGGAAUUCUCGGUGUGGCAGUGAAAUGCGUAGAUAUCGAGAGGAACACUCGUGGCGAAGGCGGGUUCCUGGACAUUAACUGACGCUGAGGCACGAAGGCCAGGGGAGCGAAUAGAAUCCAUACCCUCCAAUCCA